rnacentral:rRNA from 1 species
GAUGAACGCUAGCGGCAGGCUUAACACAUGCAAGUCGAGGGGUAUAGUAGCAAUACUAGAGACCGGCGCACGGGUGCGUAACGCGUAUGCAACCUACCUUUCACAGAGGAAUAGCCCAGAGAAAUUUGGAUUAAUACCUCAUAGUAUAGUAUGACCGCAUGGUCGCGCUAUUAAAGUUCCAACGGUGAAAGAUGGGCAUGCGUCCCAUUAGCUAGAUGGUAAGGUAACGGCUUACCAUGGCAACGAUGGGUAGGGGUCCUGAGAGGGAGAUCCCCCACACUGGUACUGAGACACGGACCAGACUCCUACGGGAGGCAGCAGUGAGGAAUAUUGGACAAUGGGCGCAAGCCUGAUCCAGCCAUGCCGCGUGCAGGAUGAAGCAUCUAUGGUGUGUAAACUGCUUUUGUACGAGAAGAAACACUGCUUCGUGAAGCAGCUUGACGGUAUCGUAAGAAUAAGGAUCGGCUAACUCCGUCG